UGCAUCUGUAUUUAUUUAAAAAUGCUUUUGCAACCUGACACUGUUCAGCUUUUUUAUCUUUUACCAGUAUUUGGGGACUUAUUGGGGAUUCCUUUGAUAAUUUCAGGAAGAAAGAAGUGGAAUGGAAGGAGCCAGUAACUGUCCCAGGUCAGAAAACGCCUCUGAAAAGGAUCUACAUUACACCCAAAGUUCAUUGGAUAACUGCACCCUCAACAAUCAGGAGACAAUAAGUGGUGUAGACAGAGCUAAUAUCUUCCCCAAAUCAGAUGGUACCUCUGAAGACAUUCAGCAUUCCACAGACUGUUCACAGGUUGAGACUUUCCACAUUCAGGAGACAAUAAGUGGUACGAACCAAGCCAGUAACUGCCCCAAAUCAGAUGGUGCCUCUGAAGACAAUCAGCAUUGCACAGACAGUUCACAGCAUGACAGUAUCUUCCACAUUCAGGAGACAAUAAAGGGUAUGAACCAAGCCAGUAACUGCCCCAAAUCAGAUGGUGCCUCUGAAGACAAUCAGCAUUGCACAGACAGUCCACAGCAUGACAGUAUCUUCCACAUUCAGGAGACAAUAAAGGGUAUGAACCAAGCCAGUAACUGCCCCAAAUCAGAUGGUGCCUCUGAAGACAAUCAGCAUUGCACAGACAGUCCACAGCAUGACAGUAUCUUCCACAUUCAGGAGACAAUAAAGGGUAUGAACCAAGCCAGUAACUGCCCCAAAUCAGAUGGUGCCUCUGAAGACAAUCAGCAUUGCACAGACAGUUCACAGCAUGACAGUAUCUUCCACAUUCAGGAGACAAUAAAGGGUAUGAACCAAGCCAGUAACUGCCCCAAAUCAGAUGGUGCCUCUGAAGACAAUCAGCAUUGCACAGACAGUUCACAGCAUGACAGUAUCUUCCACAUUCAGGAGACAAUAAAGGGUAUGAACCAAGCCAGUAACUGCCCCAAAUCAGAUGGUGCCUCUGAAGACAAUCAGCAUUGCACAGACCGUCCACAGCAUGACAGUAUCUUCCACAUUCAGGAGACAAUAAAGGGUAUGAACCAAGCCAGUAACUGCCCCAAAUCAGAUGGUGCCUCUGAAGACAAUCAGCAUUGCACAGACCGUCCACAGCAUGACAGUAUCUUCCACAUUCAGUGGCUCUUGAUGUAGAACCACCCAUAGAUCCUUCUGCAAAAGAAGUCCAGAAAUCUUCAAUUGAACAAGCAACAGAAAUAACAAGUACCACAACUACCAUGAAAGGUACUGUUUGUUAAACUUCAUAGAAAGCCUUUAUGAACUUAAAAAUCUCUGUUUUUUCUGAUGUGCUUUGUUCAUUCAGGUCGAAAGGUGGUAAAGAAAAAGAAAUGGGACAGUGAUGAAAUGAAUGCAGUUGAAAAGCAUCUAAACAGGUUCAUCAAAACUUGUACAGUGCCAGGAAAACAACAAUGUGAGGCCUGUAUAAAUGCUGAACCUGUUGCCUUGAAAGACAGGGAUUGGUUGUCUGUAAAGUUCUUUGUGAAGAACAAAAUCACUACCCUUAAAAGAAGAAUGUAAAGUCAGUUAUUUUAUUUUGUUUGGUAUCUUAUUUUCUGGUAUUUUAGAUUUCUGGUUAUUACAUUUGUUUUAAAAGGAUCUUAGAAUCUCUUUUUUUUUUUUUUUUGGAAAUGGGUGCAAUUCAGUAAAGUGUCUUUGAAUCGAAUGUAAAUAUGUACAGAAUACUGUUCAGAAUGCUACAUAAAAAUAGCAAAAAAAAAUAAAUAUUUUAUUCAUGUUAUUAAAUUUUGAUCU
rnacentral:lncRNA from 1 species